GCCAGCAUGGUGUAGUGGUUUGAGUGUUGGACUAGGACUGCAGAGAUCAGGGUUCGAUUCCCGUUUGGCC